UAUGGCGACCGGCGCACGGGUGAGUAACACGUAUCCAACCUGCCCUUUACUAUGGGACAGCCCGUCGAAAGGCGGAUUAAUACCGUAUGUUGUCAUGUUGAUGCAUAUUUUCAUGACCAAAGGCUUCGGCCGGUAAAGGAUGGGGAUGCGUCUGAUUAGCUUGCCGGCGGGGUAACGGCCCACCGGGGCGACGAUCAGUAGGGGUUCUGAGAGGAAGGUCCCCCACAUUGGAACUGAGACACGGUCCAAACUCCUACGGAAGGCAGCAG
rnacentral:rRNA from 1 species